rnacentral:lncRNA from 1 species
AGGUGGAGGUGGAGGAGGAUAAAAGCUCCAAGUACAAUCUGUGGAGGAAGAGGAACAAAUGCAAGAAGAUGAAGAGCAGGUAAAAAGCAGUGAAAACAAAAUAAGGAGGGUAAGGUGGAUGUGGAGGAGAAGGACGAGAAAGGAAAAAAGCAUUGAUUACAAAAUGAGGACGAGGAGAAAAAAAGCAGCAUCUUCGAACUAUGACAGAGGAGGUGCUGGUGGAGGAGGAGGAAAAAAAAACAGCGAGACUGAAAUGAAAAGGAGGUAGAGGAAUGAAACAGCAACCAAGAAAUGAGGCGGAGGAGGAGGAUGAUAAAAGCACCAAGUACAAUUUGUUGAUAAAAGCAGGAAACACACAAUAGGGAGAGGAAAAAAUCCGCAUCUUCGAAAUAUGGCUGAGGAGGUGGAGGUGGAGGAGGAGGAGGAGAAGGAGGAAAAAAAGAACAGCAAGAACAAAAUGUAAAGGAGAUAGAGGAAUCAAACUCAACAAAGAAAUGAGGCAGAGAAGGUGGAGGUUGAGGUGGAGUAGGAAAAAAAUGAUAUUCACGAAAUAACAAGGAGGAAGAUGAAUAAAUCAGAAACCAAGGAAUGAGGCGGAGGAGGUGGAGGCGGAGGAGGAGGUUGAGGAGGUGGAGGAUAGAAGCAACAACCACAAAACGAGGAGGAAGAGGAGAAAAGCAGCAACCACAACACUAGGCAGUGGAGGAUGAGGAAGAAGAGCUAGACGAGAAAAAAAACCAAUUGGCGACCACGAAUUCACAAGUAGGCAAAGGAAAAAAACAGAAACAAGGAAAUAAAGCGGAAAUAGCGGCGAAAAAGAGAUUACAAGGAGAUAGAGGGAAAAAAAAAACACAAAAUGAGGUGGAGGAGGUCAAGGAGGUGGAAGAGGAUAAAAGCACGAAGUACAAAUUGAGGAAGAGGAGAAAGAAAAGCAGGAGGACGAAGAGCAGGUAAAAAGCAGUGAAAACAAAACAAGGAGGGUAAGGCGCAGGUGGACGUGGUGUAGAAGGUGGAGAAAGGAAACAAGCAAUGACUACAAAAUGAGGACGAGGAGGAAAAGAUGACAUCCUUAUUAGAAAGCUUAGGAAGUGUGGGAUAGAUGAGUGGACAGUGAGGUGGGUUGAGAACUGGCUGACUGGCAGAGCGCAGACGGUCGUUGUUGGUGGUGCAGAGUCUGGCUGGAGACCUGUAACCAGUGGUGUCCCCCAGGGGUCUGUGCUGGGUCCGGUCUUGUUCAACAUCUUCAUCAAUGACCUUGAUGAGGGGAUAGUGGCCACCCUCAGCAAGUUUGCUGAUGAUACGAAGUUGGGAGGAUUGGCUGACACGCCUGAAGGCUGUGCUGCCGUUCAGCGAGACCUGGACAGGCUGGAGA